GAUGAAGAACGUAGCGAAAUGCGAUAAGUAAUGUGAAUUGCAGAAUUCAGUGAAUCAUCGAAUCUUUGAACGCACAUUGUGCCCCCUGGUAUUCCGGGGGGCAUGCCUGUCCGAGCGUCAUUACAACCCUCAAGCUCAGCUUGGUGUUGGGCCCCGCCGCCCCGGCGGGCCCUAAAGUCGGUGGCGGUGCCGUCCGGCUCCGAGCGUAGUAAUUCUUCUCGCUCUGGAGGUCCGGUCGUGUGCUCGCCAGCAACCCCCAAUUUUUUUCAGGUUGACCUCGGAUCAGGUAGGGAUACCCGCUGAACUUAAGCAUAUCAAUAAGCGGAGGA
rnacentral:misc_RNA from 1 species